UGACUCAUGAUUUGGUAUCAUUUCAGGUUUACCAAAGACUAAAUCAAUUGGCAAUCUUAUUUCAGAACCAAAUACCAUUGUUGUAGGGGUCACACCAGUAGACCCGUGCACAGAUGAACAAUAAGCCAUCAAGCAGAAAGACUUCCAGGUUCUCUAAAUGUAACACAUGCAGCAAGAUAAAAACUCAACUGGGUGACACAAAAGAUAAGACCAAGCAUAAACAGCUGAUCAGCCUCAGACAGAAACAUCUUGUGAAACAGAGCAUUGAGAGGAGAAAAUACUACAAGCAUUCCAUGAAAGGGCGGACAGAACCAGACAAAUACCUGUCAAUAAUUUUGGAUGGGAUGGAUAAAAAAACAACUGAAUUACCACAUUAUUUAUACCUAAGUUCUUUUGUGUCCAAUCUAUGGAAACUGAAAACACAUUUGGUUGGUGUAAUAGUGCAUGGAAUUGGCAACUACGGAUUUUUUUAUUAUUAUCAGUAUCCCCAUGGAAGCAACUUGACGAUUAACUGCCUUCUAUCCACUUUGUACAUGGAGAAAGACACCUUACCAGAUACCCUAUACCUUCAAAUGGAUAACUGUGCUAGAGAAAAUGAAACAAAUUCUCAGUGAGGUUGAGGUGAACAGCAGCUAUGACCUUGACCAAACUUAUGAGCAUCUUUGAGAAAUGCACACCAAGACCAAUAAGUGUGGAAUGCGACAAUGUAUAUAAUGUUACAGAAUGGUUGCAGGAAUUUUUGAAUCCGAUCAGCAGACAGUCCAGACCACAUGUGUUCAGAGUAACCAAAGGUGAAACUGGAAAAGCAGAAAUUGCUUAGAAAAAUUGGACAACUGACAAAGUAAGACUGAAGAAGGAUAGAUGUAGAAGUCCUGAAAAGAGACAUGCAAAAGGCUUCACCAUUUUUCGGAAAACCAGAAGAACGACAAUGGUGGACCAGCUUCUUUGAAAAAAUCGAAAACAAUUAUACAGAGUCAGGAAUCAAUGAUAAAUCAGAAAAAUGGAUGCUAGAUGAAAUAGUAACAGCAAAGCAAAGAUCAAGGAUAAACAGAGAGCUUGGAGUAAUCGACAGAUCCCACAUUAAGAUACUGGCUCCAUCAGAGGAGGAGGAUAUAUUCGUUAACCGGAAGGGCUAUCACAGCAUAAAUGUGCAAGUGGUGUUUGAUGCCUUUGACAGGAUCAAGGAUAUUGUUGCAUGUUGGCCUGGUUUUACACAUGACAGCAGGAUACUGCACAACAUUGGGCUGAGACAGCUUUUUGAAAGAAGCAUUAUCCUAGUGGUUAUCAUCUGUUGGGAGACAGUGGCUACCCGUGCUGUAGAUGGCUGCUGACCCCCUACCUCAACCCUCAACCUGGGGCACUGAGUGCUUACAACAGAUAAAUAUAUCAACUUCAAUCUUGAAUAACAUACCACUGUGUUACAACUAGUAUAAUUUCGACUUUGCAAUGAUUUCUAUAUUAAGAUUAAAUCUUUAUAUAGUAUUAAGUUCAAAAAUUCAUAUAGAGGCAAUUAUACCAAAUAUUUGAAUUAAGAUGAAGCUGGCAAAAUUAUGUUAAUUUUGUAAAAUUAGUAUGCAUAGGGUAUAUUCUUCACAUUUUGACAGUGUAAUUAUAGAAUCUGGAUGUUUUGCACAGCCUUAUGUCUACCUAAUAUGGCCAGAAGUGUGACUGAUUUGGAAAUCAGUGAUGUCAGUGAAGUAAUUACAGAUGGCAUAGAAGUAGAAACAGAAGAAAUAGUUCACCUCAUUAUUGGAAAAAAGACCAAGAAAGUGAAUGAUGUUUGUCAAUUGAAAGAUUGGGAUAUGGUCCUAACUGACAUUCCUAAAUAUGCUGGAGAGUGGCCUCAAGUAGGACAGGUGGUCUCAGUCUUAGGGGAUACAGUAAGGCUCUGAUGGUACAAAGGGUGUACAACUGGAAUGUGGACUCCUUGUUCAAUACCAGAAAAGAGGGAAAAAGGCAGAAAGAUAGCGUUUGUUGAAGAUAUUCCAUUGAAUUGCAUUUGGCUAUGGGGUUUCAAAUUGACAGAGAAGGGUUAUUUGAAAAAGCAGACUAGAGAGUCCAUUGAUGCCUACAAAGAUUUUUAAGUAGAAGAGUUCAGAUGCAAAGGACUGUAUUCAUGAGUGUGCAGCUUAGUGAACGACAAACCAUGAUUGUAUUUAAAAUCCAUUCAGAUUUUGAUUCUGAUAUGUUAUUUAGAGGUUAUCAUACAUGGCUGUUGGGCCUCAAGGCGAUACUGACAUACUAGGAGCGAUAUUUGUCUGAGGGUUUUAGCACUAGAGCAAAUGUAGGUCUAGUUAGCAAAUAUUGCUUAAAGGCACAACAGCCCUGUAUGAUAACUUCUAAUUUUAUAUGUUCAACUGCUAAAGUGAAAACAAGGUUAAAAUAGUUUAAUAAUGCACAGCGUUAUUGAAUGUUCAUGUAAUGAGCAGGAACAUCAAUGUAGGGAUAACGCAUGAUUUUUCAUGUUAUAACAUCUGCAGAAUCACGAGGGAUGGGUUGUUAUCCGAGCAAUGUAGGGCUAGGGUACCAAACAUUCCCGAGGGAUUCUGAAGAUGUUAUAACUUGAAAAUAACAUGUGUUAAUGCUUUUCUAGCAUAAAACGCGUAAAAACCAAGUAAAUGAAUAAAUUGUCCCUCACCGUCGUUAAAUUUCCAUGAAAUGCGCGAUAAAGUCUACGUUGUUUUUUCACGUUGACAUCAUUUCAUUUUGAGAUCGUAAUUUGUUUAUGUUUUUCCAUGGAAUGCGCAUGUAUAAAAAAAGGUGUUAUAACAGCACAUGAGUGCGAGAAUGUCUCUGUUAACACACGUUUUCUCUCCUGAUAGUAUUGCAGUACCCAGUAAUGAAAAUGGAUUGAAACUUCAAACUAUUAGUGAAUCGUAAUCGGCUGAUAUGCAUCAUAAAGUUUCCAUAAACCAAUUUUUGCAUGAUUAAGAAUUUUCUUGAUUUUUAUAUUCAUUCAGUAUGCAAGACUCCACUAAUAUAGUUUAUCAGAUGAUUUGUAAAUUGUGUGUUAGGAGUUAUUUGUAGUCUGCAGAUAAUUUGUAUAUUGUGAGUGAGGAGAUAUUUGUAGUCUUGUUACUACUUUAACACGAACAGACAUGUGUCUCAGCAUGCUAGACUGGAAAGGCAUUAAGCAUGAAACAGAAUAUAGAAGUUUAGAACUUUUGAGAAGACUAUGUGAUAUGCGAACUUUAGUUCCCUGAAAAGAUGUGUUCAGUGUAAUGUAUGUUUAAAGUAUAUUCAAUAAACAAUGUGACUCUGCUCCUGAAAUUGUAAAUAUACAUCUAGUAAAAAAAUUAAGAAUCUCAUUCAGUUAUCUGUCGUUGAGUAAAAUCACUGUUUAGAGUAUUAUAUUUGCCCAUGUGAUAGUAAUGCGCAUCAGAAUGACAAACAAUGAUUUUAUUCAAGAGCAAAUCAAUAAAUGAAAUAUAUUUUUUCUCUAACACAUUA
rnacentral:lncRNA from 1 species